rnacentral:lncRNA from 1 species
UCACAGGAGGUGUGUAGUUACGGUGUGUGUGCAAUUAUAAUGUGUGUGCAAUGCUGGUAUGACAGGUUUUGACUUUUACAAUUGUUGAUUAGUAACCACAGAGAGAACUCUGACCCUGCUGGCCCAGUAAAUCCUUCCCAUGAGAAUUCUAGAUUUGGAGAAAGUGAGACCAGGUUCUCCCUGGAUGGAUGUGUACUGAUAUACAAAACUUCUGAGCUAUUAUGAUGUCAACCAAAGCCAUAGAGGAAGUAAGUCUGUAGAAAGAAGAAUGAAGAAGAAAGGAAAGACACAUGGAGGGCCUGAUUCCAAUCCCAGGUUAGAUCUGCAAUGAAUUUCCCUGUUUGUUUGAGCUAACUUUAGCUUGAGCUGACUUUAGCUUCUGUUACUUUCAACCAAGAGCUCUAACCAAAUUCCCUGAGACUUCAUGUUCAGUGAUGAACAAAUUUGCAGCAAGGCACAAAGACACACACACCAUGGUGAAAAGCUUCCUGCCAUUCCCCAUCUCUGCUGUCUCUCUGAUUUGCUGACUCCUAAUUUUGUCUACUUACUGGUGUAGACAACAUCAUCCUAGAACUAUGUCAGCCAUCACCACAUUCAGCAGAAACUCAAGUUGCCACAGUCUGUCUUCCCCAGAUCAGGAAGAGCACAAACCAGAGAGAUUCAGUCACGUUUGAUUUACUUCAGCAUUAGCUGUAUUUGAAGGUUCUUUUGCAACUAGUAAAGAACAAACAAAAGAGUACAUUCUUUUUCCAGAUUUGGGCUGUUGCCGUUGAUUUAUUUUUCCACUCUUUUGAAAAAAAAAAAAAAACCUGUUCUGCCAGAUUCUCCCAGUGCUCAGGCCCCUCCCAGGCAGUUCAGCGCACACUCUAGGAAAC